ACAGAACUGUGCACGUGCAGUAGAGUGGAGGGAGAGCUGAAUGAUGUGGAGAUUCAGCUUGAGCAUGCUAUCCGGAACAAAGCAGAGUUGGUCAAAACCCUCAAAAAGCUGCAGCAGCAGAUCAAAGAGCUGCAGGUGCAGAUGGAUGAGGACGCCCGUCAGCACCAGGAGCUGAGGGAGAAGUACAGCCUGCAGGAGCGCCGUCUCUGUCUCGUGGAGGUGAGAUGGAGGAGAUGAGAGGAGGCCACCCUCCUCUUUCUCACACAGAGACAUUAACACAUGCAGACAGACGUACACUGGCUGUUUUCUUACAGCUGCACUUUUCUUUUCUUAUCACAGAGUCAAAGUCUGAGCAUCCUGAGGGAAAACUAGAGUGUUUCGCUGCUGAAGAGAGAUCCAAGAAGGCUGUGACUGAUGCGACGCGACCGUGUGAGGAGCUUCAGCAGGAGCAGGAAUGGAGCUCCCACCUCGAGAAGAUCAAGAAGAACCAAGAGCAGAACCUCAGAGAUCUCACGCUGAAGCUGGAGGGGGCCAAGCAGCAGGCACCAAGGCUGGAAGACGCGCCAUCCAGAAACUGGAACCUGGGGUCAGUUUUAUUAAAUGUAAACCCCACAGCAGCUUCAGGAUCCGCCUGUUGUGUCAGUUCGUUCUUCUUUCAAGUAGAUUAA
rnacentral:lncRNA from 1 species